GAUGAACGCUAGCUACAGGCUUAACACAUGCAAGUCGAGGGGAAACGGCAUCGAAAGCUUGCUUUUGAUGGGCGUCGACCGGCGCACGGGUGAGUAACGCGUAUCCAACCUGCCCAUCACUUGGGAAUAACCUUGCGAAAGUAAGACUAAUGCCCAAUGACAUCCCACGAAGGCAUCCGAAUGGGAUUAAAGAUUUAUCGGUGAUGGAUGGGGAUGCGUCUGAUUAGCUUGUUGGCGGGGUGACGGCCCACCAAGGCAACGAGCAGUAGGGGUUUUGAGAGGAGGGACCCCCAAAGUGAGACACGGACCAGGCUCAAACGCGAAGGGGAAGUGGGGAAGAGGAAACUGUGGGAGGGGGCGUGAGGCAGAAACGCCGAGUGUGUGAAGAAGGUGGCCGCCUUGUGGGUUGUAAUCUGCGUUUAGAAGGGAAGAAAGGUGGUUACGUGUGCUUUUUGGCGUUACCCUUAGAAAAAGGGCCGGCUAAAUCCGUG
rnacentral:rRNA from 1 species